UACGUAGGGUGCAAGCGUUGUCCGGAAUUAUUGGGCGUAAAGAGCUCGUAGGCGGUCUGUCGCGUCUGCUGUGAAAACUCAGGGCUUAACCCUGAGCUUGCAGUGGGUACGGGCAGACUAGAGUGCGGUAGGGGAGACUGGAAUUCCUGGUGUAGCGGUGAAAUGCGCAGAUAUCAGGAGGGAACACCGGUGGGCGAAGGCGGGUCUCUGGGCCGUAACUGACGCUGGAGGAGCGGAAAGCAUGGGGAGCGAACAGG
rnacentral:rRNA from 1 species